rnacentral:rRNA from 1 species
UACGGGAGGCAGCAGUGGGGAAUAUUGGACAAUGGGCGCAAGCCUGAUCCAGCCAUGCCGCGUGAGUGAUGAAGGCCCUAGGGUUGUAAAGCUCUUUCAGCGAGGAGGAUAAUGACGUUACUCGCAGAAGAAGCCCCGGCUAACUUCGUGCCAGCAGCCGCGGUAAU